GCGGGAGUCCACGAGACCCGCUCUGAGACCACCAAUUAGGGUCUCAAAAAGUUUGAAAGAGCGAGAAACCCGAGGAGGUGAGGGAGGAGGGGGGAAGAGGGCGCGCGAGCAAGCGAGACUGGGGGGAGGAGGGGCAGAGGAGCGCCCGCGGGGUUCGGAAACAACUUUGCAGACUCGACUAGGCUGACCAGCGCCCCAUCCCAUGGCCCACCUGGAAAGCUCCCCGCCCGCCGUCUGCACGGAGGACCUCCAAACCCUGCUGUUGCCAGCGCUAAGGACACUGGGGACCUCUAGCAGUCCAGGCAUGCUUGGGACGUUGAGUGUAUAACGGAGCCUUUCUGACCGAAGGCUGGAGAAGCAGAGUGGGACCUUCAGGCACUUUGUUGGGUUAUCUGCCAAGGACUACCAUCUAGAGAAACCUCCGCUGCCCGGAGAGGGAACCCGGACAUUCUCCGCUGCCAGCUCAAGCAAGUGGCAUGGCGUUUGAAAACUCUUGAAGCCCUCGGAGGCUGCUGGAGGGAAUAGGAAGCCAUCUGGGCAGAUGUGGCAGAAACCGAAAUAAGGUGUCCGCGCAGUACUGGAUUCCCGCUUCCUCCUUUAGCUUGGUGGAAAGGUGUGCAGCAAAUCUGAGGAUUUUGACAAACUUUGCCUUCAGCGCCCUCUUGUUGACUUCACAACCCAUAUCCAUUGCCUUCUUCCCAGAGGGGGGAAAGCACUGCCCAGGAACAGGGUCCCAUUUCAGAGGGCUUCCAGGGCCACUGUCAUUGCCCUGUUUGUCUCCUCCUCACCCCCACCCCCUCCCACCACUCUGCAGGAGCUCUGUAAUUCAGAUCAACCAACUCACACACACA
rnacentral:lncRNA from 1 species